rnacentral:rRNA from 1 species
UGGGGAAUAUUGCACAAUGGGCGCAAGCCUGAUGCAGCAACGCCGCGUGAGGGAUGACGGCCUUCGGGUUGGUAAAACCUCUUUUAGUAGGGAAGAAGCGAAAGUGACGGUACCUGCAGAAAAAGUACCGGCUAACUACGUGCCAGCAGCCGCGGUAAUACGUAGGGUGCGAGCGUUGUCCGGAAUUAUUGGGCGUAAAGAGCUCGUAGGCGGUCUGUCGCGUCUGCUGUGAAAACCCGAGGCUCAACCUCGGGCCUGCAGUGGGUACGGGCAGACUAGAGUGCGGUAGGGGGAGAAUGGAAUUCCUGGUGUAGCGGUGGAAUGCGCAGAUAUCAGGAGGAACACCGAUGGCGAAGGCAGUUCUCUGGGCCGUAACUGACGCUGAGGAGCGAAAGCGUGGGGAGCGAACAGGAUUAGAUACCCU